CUGCAUUUACCUGCUUGGAAGGUGUCACUGACCUCUGCUUUUAGGUUGUCUGGAUGGAGGACAGAGAAAGGUGUGUGAGUGUGCAUAGAAAGAAGCCUAUUGUACAAAUACAGUGGUACCUUGGGUUACAUACGCUUCAGGUUACAGACUCCGCUAAACCAGAAAUAGUCCUUCAUGUUAAGAACUUUGCUUUGGGAUGAGAACAGAAAUCGUGCUCCGGCGGCGCGGCAGCAGCAGGAGGCCCCAUUAGCUAAAGUGGUGCUUCAGGUUAAGAACAGUUUCAGGUUAAGUACAGACCUCCGGAAUGAAUUAUAUACUUAACCCGAGGUACCACUGUAUAAAAAUUACAUUUGUCACUUUGUCAAUUUUUGCCUCUGGCUUUGCCCACCAACGACGGGUGACCCUCAGAAGGUGUCCCAAGAGGGAAUAUGUGUGCAUUAGGCAAAAUCGCAUACAAAAAAAAAUGUGUACAUCAGGAAAAAUAUGUUGAUGAAUUUUCAUUAACAUGUUAAAAAAGGGGGAAAAAAGGCAGCCGGUGUAGAAAUGUGGAAACUGGGAAAAUGAGAAUCUGACUGAAAUCGAAAAUGAUGGAUUUACCCACCCCUUGUGUUGUUGUUUUGAUGACAUUUGUGCUAACAUGGGAACAUUUGACUCAGGGAUCACAUUCAUCCAGUGCUUUACCAACUGCACUGGCUCCCGGUGGAGUACAGGGUCAGGUUUUAGGUGCUGGUUUUGACCUUUAAAGCCCUAUGCGGCCUAGGACCCACGUACCUACGUGACCGCCUCUCCUGGUAUGCCCUGCGGAGGACCUUAAGGUCCACAAAUGACAACACUUUGGAGGUCCCAAGUCGCAAGGUGGUUAGAUUGGUCUCAACUAGGGCCAGGGCCUUUUCAGUACUGGCCCCGACUUGGUGGAACGCUCUGUCACAAGAGACCAGGGCCCUGCGGGACUUGACAUCUUUCCACAGGGCCUGCAAGACAGAGUUGUUCUGCCUGGCCUUUGGUUUGGACUCAGUCUGACUCUUAUGUUUCCCUCCCCUUAUGGUUUUGAUCUAUGGGCUACUUUUAAAAUGAGGCUGUAUUUUAAAUUGUAUUUUAAAAGGUAAAGGGACUCCUGACCAUUAGGUCCAGUCGUGGCCGACUCUGGGGUUGCGGCGCUCAUCUCGCUUUAUUGGCCGAGGGACCCGGCGUACAGCUUCCGGGUCAUGGGGCCAGCAUGACUAAGCUGCUUCUGGCGAACCAGAGCAGCGCACGGAAACGCUGUUUACCUUCCCGCUGGAAGGUACCUAUUUAUCUACUUGCACUUUGACGUGCUUUCGAACUGCUAGGUUGGCAGGAGCAGGGACCGAGCAAUGGGAGCUCACCCCAUCGUGGGGAUUCGAACCGCCAACCUUCUGAUCAGCAAAUCCUAGGCUCUGUGGUUUAACCUACAGCGCCACCCAUUUUAAAUUGGUUCCCCCCCCUUACUAUAUUUUUAUUGUAAUUUUACUGGUGUUAGCCGCCUUGAGCCUGGCUCUGGCCAGGGAGGGCGGGGUAUAAAUAAAUAAAUAAAUGCAUUAUUAUGAUGAUUAUUAUUAUUAUCCCUCUACACAGUGCUAUUUUUCUAGAAAAAGAGGUGAUGGAGCGCACCAUGAGCUUCUCUCUUGUUCUCUUAGAAUGGCAGUCGUGCCCACCUGAGAAGUGACAGAGCUGAGCUCCAAUGAGGUCUGGAUGGGGAAAAAGCCCUGCCUCUCCAUACACAAAACAUGAAUUUAUAAGACUUGUCAAAGGCACUAAUGAGUCCAAUUGUCAGGAAUCUCGUGAACCAACCACAAAACUUCUUAUCACGCAAUCUUCCAAUUGUUAGCUGGUAGGGCUAAUCCAAGACAUUUUGCUGCCUGAGGCAAAGGACAAGAUGGCAGUCCCAUCCCACAAAGACCAACCCUAGUUAAAGGGGAAAGGGCUUGCUGUGUAGUAUACAAAGCUCUGUCCUAUAACUCACAAUAACUCACCACUCCCAAUCAACUGAAGUCUAAGGUGGUUUCCGUGCUCUGCCCAAUGACAGGGACAGCCCUGUUUCAGGCUCAAAACAGCAUUUCCAUGGAACUAAAUUUAUUUAUUAAUUUUGUUCCAUUUACAAAUUAUUUCCCGUAAAAUAACCCCAAAGCAGAUUUCGCAAUAAACCCAUCGACAAUAAAAACAAAGCUAAAUGUAGAAACAACAAUUCCGUAUAUACAAAGAAAUAACAAUUCCCUCUAUACAAAGUAUUAAAAACAAUUUCUAUGUGCAAAACCAAUUAAAAACAACUUCCGAUGUAAAAAAAAUAAAAACAAUUUCAAAUCCAAUACAGACACUGAUUGGAAUGAAUGUCUCCACUUAAAGGCUAGUUGAAAAAGAUCUUCAGUAUUCUGGGAAAUGAUAUAUAAUGAGAUGAAAAACAUGUUGAAAUAUACAUUUCUAAAAAAAACCAGAAGCAUUUUCACUUGGCAUUAUAGGUGAGGAUAUUAAUAGAUAGGAUGUAAAAUUGUUCUUAUGUGCAACAACAGCAGCAAGAGUAUUGUUGGCUCAGAAAUGGAAGCAAGAAGAAAUACUGACGAAAGAAGAAUGGCAGGCAAAAUUGAUGGACUACGCAGAAUUGGAUAAAAUGACAGGAAGGAUUUGAAACCUGUGGGACCAGAGAUUUACAGAAGAUUGGAAGAAAUAUACGAAUUAUUUGAGGAGCAACGGUAAUCAACAAAUUACGCUAGUAGGACUACAAGACGUUUUGUAAGGAGAAAUAUAUGAAAUAUUGCAAAGAAGAGAAAGAAGAGAGACAUUAGUUAUGAGAUUUAAAUGUAAUAGUGAAAAUAAGAAAUGUAUAUUAAGAAAAGUAUAUUAAGAGAAAGGAUUGGAAAAUUUUCAGAUGUGAUUGAUGGAAG
rnacentral:lncRNA from 1 species